rnacentral:rRNA from 1 species
GACGAACGCUGGCGGCGUGCUUAACACAUGCAAGUCGAACGGAAAGGCCCUGCUUUUGUGGGGUGCUCGAGUGGCGAACGGGUGAGUAACACGUAAGUAACCUGCCCUUGACUUUGGGAUAACUUCAGGAAACUGGGGCUAAUACCGGAUAGGAGCUCCUGCUGCAUGGUGGGGGUUGGAAAGUUUCGGCGGUUGGGGAUGGACUCGCGGCUUAUCAGCUUGUUGGUGGGGUAGUGGCUUACCAAGGCUUUGACGGGUAGCCGGCCUGAGAGGGUGACCGGCCACAUUGGGACUGCGAUACGGCCCAGACUCCUACGGGAGGCAGCAGUGGGGAAUAUUGCACAAUGGGCGGAAGCCUGAUGCAGCAACGCCGCGUGCGGGAUGACGGCCUUCGGGUUGUAAACCGCUUUCGCCUGUGACGAAGCGUGAGUGACGGUAAUGGGUAAAGAAGCACCGGCUAACUACGUG